UGCGCAGGCGGUUUUGUAAGACAGUGGUGAAAUCCCCGGGCUCAACCUGGGAACUGCCAUUGUGACUGCAAGGCUAGAGUACGGCAGAGGGGGUGGAAUUCCGCGUGUAGCAGUGAAAUGCGUAGAUAUGCGGAGGAACACCGAUGGCGAAGGCAACCCCCUGGGCCUGUACUGACGCUCAUGCACGAAAGCGUGGGAGCAAACA
rnacentral:rRNA from 1 species